rnacentral:RNase_P_RNA from 1 species
AGAGGGAGCGAGGUGAUUGCGAGCAAGCCACUUGCUUGAGGAAAGUCCGGGCUUCCGAAAGACCGAACUUGCUGGAUAACGUCCAGUGCGAGCGAUCGUGAGGAAAGUGCCACAGAAACAUACCGCCAAUAGAAAGGAAGGAAAAGGUUUUCCUAUUUCAUCCUUCUCUAUCGGUAAGGGUGCAAAGGUGCGGUAAGAGCGCACCAGCAGUAUCGAGAGGUACUGGCUCGGUAAACCCCGGUUGGAUGCAAGGCAGAUGGGGCAACGGUUGGUCUUUUUCCUGUCCCGCGUUGCUGGUGAAAUAUCCAGCAAAGAGCCGCUUGAGGCAUUUGGUAACAGGUGUCCCAGAUAGAUAAUCGCCCUCUAGGAGCAUUGCUCUCAAGAGAACAGAACCCGGCUUAUGUCCCCCUCUUCUC